UACGGGGGGAGCAAGCGUUGUUCGGAUUUACUGGGCGUAAAGGGCGCGUAGGCGGCGCAACAAGUCACUUGUGAAAUCUCCGGGCUUAACCCGGAGCGGUCAAGUGAUACUGUCGUGCUAGAGUGCGGAAGGGGCUACUGGAACUCUCGGUGUAGCGGUGAAAUGCGUAGAUAUCGAGAGGAACACCUGCGGCGAAGGCGGGUAGCUGGGCCGACACUGACGCUGAUGCGCGAAAGCCAGGGGAGCGAACGGG
rnacentral:rRNA from 1 species